AGUUUUAAAUCACUGGGAGGAUUGUAAUGUGCUUGCUACUCAGAGCUCUCUUCAGGAUUAAAGAAUUUAUCACUUCAGCUGCAGGGAAUGUCACCUGCACAUAGCCUUUAGCUGUCAGUCCCUGAGGAAGACUGGCGCCUCUUCAACCAAGUCCACACCCUCUAUCCAGGGGAGCUCAAAAGAAAUUACUGACAGAGCAACUUGGGAUGCUGUGAAAGUUACAGAAUCCAUCCUGCACAUAUUCUGUUGAACUCAGUGAACUCUCAGAUUCCAUCCGUUGUGUUUUUGGAGGAAGACAACAAAAGCAAAUCCCAAGCAAAGGUGGUAGGACUACUUCAGGAUCUAAGUCCAGGAGAAUAGCCAGUAAGUAGUAUUACUGUCUUUUGGAACCA
rnacentral:lncRNA from 12 species